CCCAGCUCCACUACUCUGGCACUAGCCCCUGGGAACUGCCAAGUGAGAUGAAUUAGAAGCCUGAAGCAAAAUAUUUGGUUUCAUGCAAUUUACUUUCUUUCUACUACUUACUUAAAAUUCUGUGGAACAAUUAAAUCUUAAAAGUGUCUUGUGGGCGCUUUGGGCUCCCUUUCCUUUCAAGUUUAUUGAUUGUAUUAGAUAUUACUCACAAAAGCAAGGGCUUUUUUUUUUUUAAAUCCUUUUAAACAUUUAAUAACAACAUUUGGUUGAAACCCAGAAAGAGAUAGUCUUCAAAGAGGCUGAGUACCCAAACUGCAGCAAUGAAAACCUUGUACCCAUGGAUUAAGAACCUUGAAGGUGCGCUUGAAUUGAGGGCCGUGGGUGUGCCCAGUGGAGAAAGAGCUGAAGGAUGGCUUGGUAGUUCCAUCCUUCAGUAGCAGAGGGAGUCACUGGAAGAUGCCAAGACAAGGAGGCUUCAGUACCUUUAUGAAGUCAGCUGAUCAACAGUGAGGACCUUCUCUUCCUCUGCAAGUGCUGGGUCUGACAGCUGCUUUAACAGGGUGUUUGUCACCUGGGGUGAUUGAGUUAAGAAGAAACAAACAAUUGAUCUUGGCUUUCAGUUUUGAUGCUUUGGUCCACGAUUGGCUGGCCCCAUUGCUUUGGAUCUGCUCACUCAUGGCAGAAACGCACAGCUGGGGAAGCUGCUUGUCUCCUGCUAACCAACAAGGACAGAAAGAAGGGGUACCACAGCGAGAGAGAACCUGAAUCAGCCACCGUCAGAGAGGCCGAUUAAGCCAAACUACUGCUGCCUAAGCUGCUUCUUGUUAUUUUUCUCUGGGCCAGGUUAAAAGGCACUUGAGAACAAUGGGCCAUCAGCUCUGCCUCCUGUCUGUCUGGGAAGAUGGCUGCCACGGCCGCCAGUCCCAUUCCAUUUCAGCAAUGAGGUGCCACAAGAGGCUCACACACAUAACCCCCGCAAAGAUGGAAAUGAGUGUAUCUCCGCAAAAGGGGAAGCGGAGGGGGUGAGGUGAGGGGGCGGAGGAAGGAGCGCCACAACGCUGUGCUUUGAUGGCCUUAUAUUUCCAAGCUCUGGGAAAGAAGAAUUGGAGCCGCAGAACUCAAUAUAGAGCAGCGAUCUGUGGUUGGGGGAAAUGCGGCACAUCUGCCUUUUAUAGGUUUGGAAUGAAAAAUGUUUUUAAUUAAGGAGUGGAAUUGGGGCUUUUAGUCUUGCUACAUGCUAUGUACCUGUCAGACCUGCUGGAUGGGAAUUUAGCUGUGACCUCUCACCCCCCACCCCCACCACCUACAUUAACCAGAGGACUACAAGAACUCAGAAGAACUCUGAGCACCCGAGAUCGCCUCUGUGCCCUCCUCUGAACAGAAUGGACCUCAGCAUAGAAAAAUCUCUGUUCUACCUGGCGUGGGCCAUUGCAACAGGAUUCCAGCUGCUCUCGGGAGUGAAAGCGAAAGGUGGUCAGUGUCACCAUUGGUCACAAACGGACUCUGCAAGUCAAGAAGACUUAGGGGAGCCAACAUAGCUAUAAUGACUAUAAAAACCCAGCAAGGAUUUUUUUUUUAAAGCUAUGAAGCAAAACAAUCUCAGAAAUGGUAAUGUUCUGUCAGCAAAACAAACCAUCUAAGGAAGGAAUCUUCAUGCCCACCCUGUGGGUCCGGCUCUUAAGAUGGUGGCCUGAGAUGCCAUUUACAAGGGGCUGGGCUGCUCUUCCUGGGAUCUCUACGGAGGGAGAAGGACCUGCACUGAGAUGCCCCUGCUCUCUCUUCUCUCUCCCCAUGGUCAGGUCAACCACACAGUUAUCCCAACUGGGUUUCUGGGCUCCUUUAUUUUCACAAAUGCCUCCAGCUCUAAGGUAUGACAUCAGGGCCCCUUACUCUCUAAGGAGUGGACCAGCGCUACUCCUUUUGGAUCUUCCAAGAGGAGGGUGGUCUCCUGUUGGCAUCAUUCAUUGUUAGGCCUUAACAUCCUCUGCAUUUUUAUCCAUCCUUCCCUGGGCUUUUCUUUCUUUCUUCUCUAUCCUGGAACAUCCCAUCUCGGUCCAUGAAGAUCCAAGGGCAGGGUUAACGCUUUUUAAGCUCAAAGUGUUGAUCUUUACCCUUUAACAGGCUAUGAGAACUUGUUCAUAUGACCCUUGUGAUUUUUUUUUUUAAAGCAAAUUUUGGAGUUAGUCUACCAAAGGGAAGCCAUUCUGUCUUUUCUCCCCUUCUUUUUCCCUCCUACCUUUUCCUCUCCUCCUUUCCCCUCCUAGUCUUAAACCUGCCUUUAACCUCCACAUUGGUAAAAUAGUUCAAAGUGUCUCUUUUCGCUAAGCAGAAACAGCAGUUUCUGUGUCCACUGCUGGCCCUACAAUGGGGCAGCCUCCCUCCCUGGCUGCCACACCCUCAACUCAUAGCCUGUCAUCCUUGAUCUGUCGGCCGGGCCACCUCAAAGCAGGAAAGCUGUGAUCUUCUUUGUGUUUCUAGCACUUAGCACAAACCCUGGCCUGUUGCAAAUGCCUCCUGCCUGGAGUUAGAAGGAACUGAGUUCAGAGUGGAUGAAGGGAAAGAAUCAGGAAAACCAUGGUAGAUUCUGGAAGGCCUGGUGGAGAGAAGUGGUUCUCGUGGAAUGAAGAACAAUUCUUUUUUAAACAAACAAACAAACAAACAAACAAACAAACAGAUAUUCAGAACAUUUCAAUGGAAGUGUUUCAAAAGGUUUUGUGUGGAACAUAAUUUUCUUUCCUUUUUUUAAUAGCCUUUUCUUUUUUCUCUGUUCUUCCCUCAUGUAUUACAUCUCAGCUGAAGUUUCUCCCCCUCCCCCUCCCCUACUCGCUCCCCUCCCCACAACCACACCCCUUCACCUCCCCUCAAAAAAGAACAAGCCUUCCUGGGGCGUUAACCAGACACAAAAUAACCAGCUACACUAAGACCAGGCACAUAUUCUCACAUCAAGGCUGAAUGAGGCAACCCAGUAGGAGGAGAAGGGUCCCAAAGGCAGGCAAGAGCCAGACGCAGCUCUGCUUCUGCUGUUAGGAGUCUCACAAGGAUACUGAGCUAUACAACCAUAUUAUGUAUGCACCCAUACAGGCUCCUUGAACUCACUUGAGUCCUAGUCAGCCGAUUCUGUUCUUGUGGCAUCCUUGGUCCCUGCAGUUUCUCCAAUCCUUCCUACCCCUCCUCUGCAGGAGUCAUCCAAGCUCCAUCUAAUCUUUGGCUGUGGGACUCUGUAUCUGCUCCCAUCAGUUGCUGGAUAAAGUCUCUCUGACUCCAUGACAAUUAUGCUCGACUCCAGUCCUAGCACAACCUUCAGGCCUGACAAACUGUAGGUCAGAGGUUUUGUGACUGGGAUGGAUGGCUGGUUCAGGCUCUGUGACUCCCAUUACUAGGAGUAUGAAGACCAAUUCUUGGUUGUCUAUGAUGGCUAAAGUCAAGGACAGUUAUAGCUCAUCAACUAUAUUAGGCUUCUUGUGUAAAAUAAAAACACAUACUCAUACACACAUCACUCAUACAUUUAUGUAUAUAUACCCCAUGUAGAAAAAUAUUUACAAUUUAGAAAGUUGCUUUACAUAUUAAAUUAUAUUGCUUUUGUUUCUAUUGCUGGGGUUGUUUAUUUCUUUUAUGAUUAUAUACAGGAAACGAUAGAUUUUUAUCACAUUCAUCAUUAGGUAUUGCUUAAUAGUUAACAGUGGUAACUGAUAACACAUGUGGUACUCUUCCUACUUGUCAGGCACUCUCAGAAACACAUUACAUACAUUAACUCAUUUACUUGACAGAGUGAACCUAAAGGAAGUUAAGCAUGAGUCAUAACUGAUAGCAUCUUGCAUGUUUACAGAGAUGAAAUUUCAUAAUAUCCCAUAUCCAUAUAGACAGCAGAGCAAUUGGAAGUGUGCGCAUUAGACGCAGGGCUAUUGUUACUUAAUGCAAUUGUCUAUAUAAUCCAUACCAUCGUGGAUUUUGUUUGAUGACUUAAAGAGAUGUUGAUGGUUUGGCUUGUAAGCAUUAGAACUAUAGAAGAAGGCUCCCUUUUGACUACAGUGAAGCUGGUGCCUAAGCAGGAGAGUCAGGGUGAAGUCGGGAAGAGGAGCCCAGCCUUCCUAUCAACUGGAUUCUACACAUCUGGUUCAUUGGAGUAUGAGAGACCCAGGCCUCAAAGGUAGAUGCAGGUCUGUGUAUCUAAACCAUGACAAUAUGGUUAGGUGGGUUCCUGGGGCUUUGUUUCACUGAGCCGUGGGGAGGAAUCUUUCCCCUUGUUAUCUUGAGAGAGUGAUUCUUGCUAUUAAAUUGAACAAGAGAGGUUGAAGGAGUCGUAGAUCCAAAAAAUCUCUUUAUAUCUGGGGGCCAAAUUAAUCAUUGGAAAGGAAGAGAAAAUAAGGCAUUGUCUCAGUGCUAAGGACAGUGGGGCAUGAAUACAUGCUUGUCGAGUGAAUCACCAGAUUUCUCUCUGGCCUACACUGGGACUGAGAUAGCAAUUUCCUAUCUCAUUAUGUUAGGUUCACACCCUAUUAGUAUUUAUUUUGGUUAAUAUAAUACAAUUAGAGUAUAAUCAUAUCAGCAGCUUUCAGAUCAUGUAAGAAAAAUAAAAGUUAUUGAAACACUAAUGCUAAUGGAAAGUGAUGGAAAGUGGUUAGUGCAAUGACAUGCAUGCAUUGAGUUAGGCAGGAAACUGGGGGGCAGAAGAGGGUGCCUGGCUUCUUCAGAGAAUCUUUAAAUGCCUAGAAAGGGGUGUGCUGACUCUGCCUUUGCUUCCUGAUAAGGCUGUGAUUGUUAUGCCAUUUAUGGGGAAAGGUUUCCCCACGUGGAUCUGUUUAAAAGGUGGUCUGGAGGUGCUAAUAGAAAACAAAGACCAAGAUCUAAUCCUAACUCCUCUUUAAAUGGCUGUG
rnacentral:lncRNA from 1 species